AAGUUGAACCGGAUUUAAUGGAUGCUUCAAUUGAGGCUACAAAAGAUAGUGACCACAGUAGGCUGCGAGCUUUAUCUGUAUCCAAGGUGUGGUUUGGCGAAGAUGACGAUGAAGGUGAAGAAGAUUUCGAGCAAGAAAAAGAGGAGGAGAAAAGCAGAUAUGCUACGCGGGGAACGUACAUGGAGGGAGAAAGGAGUGUCGUGAGUGCUCAAGCAUAGCAAGAAGGUGGUUUGACGGUUUAAUCAGUAAAGACAUUCAAUUGGCCAAUGAAGUUUUCUCCAUUGACACCAUUUAUUUUGACUGGCAACAUUUACAUUUUCUUUUUGCAGGGUCCAGUUGAAUCGUUCUACGGUUCAGUAUUAUGUAUGAACCGAGUACCAGGUGGAUGAUGGGGUGCUAGUUUUAAUUCGGUGCUGGGUUCAGUCCUGCGCGAUGGCUCAAAAGAGAAUAGUUAUGCAGCUAAACGUUAUUUACUUGCCUUUACCUUUCCAUUGCCUGCUAAUUUCAUCAAUUCCGGAGAGUUAUAAGAGGAGCAAAAUAAUGCAAAUUGUCUCAUAGAAAAAAGAAAGAAAGGGAGUUUAAGCUCUGUUCUUGUAAAUAUUUAUUCUGACGCUCGGUUUGUGCUUUUGCAUUCGAAUCUACCUGGAUAAUAUUCAUGCUGGUGCCAGCCAAUACAGAUGUAGUUGAA